rnacentral:rRNA from 1 species
CCUACGGGAGGCAGCAGUGAGGAAUAUUGGUCAAUGGACGAGAGUCUGAACCAGCCAAGUAGCGUGAAGGAUGACUGCCCUAUGGGUUGUAAACUUCUUUUAUAUGGGAAUAAAACGUUCCACGUGUGGGAUUUUGUAUGUACCAUAUGAAUAAGGAUCGGCUAACUCCGUGCCAGCAGCCGCGGUAAUACGGAGGAUCCGAGCGUUAUCCGGAUUUAUUGGGUUUAAAGGGAGCGUAGGUGGAUUGUUAAGUCAGUUGUGAAAGUUUGCGGCUCAGCCGUAAAAUUGCAGUUGAAACUGGCAGUCUUGAGUACAGUAGAGGUAGGCGGAAUUCGUGGUGUAGCGGUGAAAUGCUUAGAUAUCACGAAGAACUCCGAUUGCGAAGGCAGUUCACUGGACUGCAACUGACACUGAGGCUCGAAAGUGUGGGUAUCAAACAGGAUUAGAUACCCGAGUAGUC